GAUCAUGGCUCAGGAUGAACGCUAGCUACAGGCUUAACACAUGCAAGUCAGGGGGAAACGACAUCGAAAGCUUGCUUUUGAUGGGCGUCGACCGGCGCACGGGUGAGUAACGCGUAUCCAACCUGCCCACCACUUGGGGAUAACCUUGCGAAAGUAAGACUAAUACCCAAUGACAUCCCACGAAGACAUCUGAAUGGGAUUAAAGAUUUAUCGGUGAUGGAUGGGGAUGCGU
rnacentral:rRNA from 1 species